rnacentral:rRNA from 1 species
GAUGAACGCUGGCGGCGUGCCUAAUACAUGCAAGUCGAGCGAACGGACGAGAAGCUUGCUUCUCUGAUGUUAGCGGCGGACGGGUGAGUAACACGUGGAUAACCUACCUAUAAGACUGGGAUAACUUCGGGAAACCGGAGCUAAUACCGGAUAAUAUUUUGAACCGCAUGGUUCAAAAGUAAAAGACGGUCUUGCUGUCACUUAUAGAUGGAUCCGCGCUGCAUUAGCGAGUUGGUAAGGUAACGGCUUACCAAGGCAACGAUGCAUAGCCGACCUGAGAGGGUGAUCAGCCACACUGGAACUGAGACACGGUCCAGACUCCUACGGGAGGCAGCAGUAGGGAAUCUUCCGCAAUGGGCGAAAGCCUGACGGAGCAACGCCGCGUGAGUGAUGAAGGUCUUCGGAUCGUAAAACUCUGUUAUUAGGGAAGAACAUAUGUGUAAGUAACUGUGCACGUCUUGACGGUACCUAAUCAGAAAGCCACGGCUAACUACGUG